AUUUGGGCGACAUCUAAUCAACAAAGAUUAGAAAGUGCUUAUAAAGCAGCGUUAAAACUGCUUCCCAAGCAUAUAUUUGACGCAUUUGUCAUCUCGAAACUGCUUUGUUGGCGCGUUUUCUUAAACAAUGAACCUGCUUACAGUGCGAAAGUAAAAAUCCGCCAAAACAAAUCAGCUGUUGCAUCAUCCUGGGGGAAUUCAUUGGCGACUAGCACUUACAGGAAGCCAGCUGAAUUUGACCAGUGCGUGUUCAGAAACAUUGCAUCAGACACACGAAGAGAAGAAAGUGACCACUCAGCAUUUUAUUUUGAUUUCCAUGCACCGACUUUAAACCCGCCACAAGCGACGCAUGAGGUUUGGGAAACAGAGAAAACAUGAUCCUUGCGCAAUUUUCACCGUCUUCAAACUGUGUGUUCUUAUGGUUGUUAAAAGAAUCAGUGAUAGAUAGCUUCUAAAUUUUGCGUGUACAGCAUUUCGAACAUUCGAUCGCAGGGGUAAGUCCCUCCAUCGACUACGUGGCAACCGACUUGUAUUAUGCCCCGCCCUUUAAAUGAACUCAUGGCGUGAAAGCCACAAAGAUCGUGAACCAAGCAUCUAAAAUAACAUGGACCUAUUCUAAACGCGUUUUGCGUUUUUUUUGCAGUGAAACCGAGGGGAUUUCAGCGCAGCGAAAUCUCUACUUCCAAGGAUAUUGCGACUCCUGCGUCGUGCAAUGACGUUAACAGCGUGUUGCACGAUUCUCUGACACAAGAUGUGAGGUUGGUGCACAAUCUUGUGAAUGAAAAGGAGAUUGGUGCACAAUUUUGUGACAGAAAGGGGUAUGAGAAAAAGGAUGGCGACGACUGCGUACUGCUGUAAAAGACCCCGAAGACUACAUUCUUUGAAGAAGAAUCAAUGAAGCCCUUCUUCGCAAGGGCAGAUGUGUUUCUCACUUUAAAAGUUACGGUGUUAUUUACAGUUUGGAGAAGUUGUGCGCCUUUCUUACUUGUUUUAUUUGGAUGUUUUGGUUACUGUUCUAUGUAAGUUUGAAAACGUUUUUGGUUUUGCAGUGUAAUUCAUGAAAUGGCUAGUUUUUCGAUGAGUUUGUAACUUUUCACACCUUGCGACUUGGUGUUUUUCAAUUGACUAAGUUUGAUGAGAAAGCAAUGUAACAUUUCAGUUAUAAAUUCGCUCGUAAAUAGCGCACAUCAGAAGUCGAUGUAAGAGACUUGACUGAGAUGAAGUCAAUAAACAUCACAGAAAAGUAACUUGAGUUAAAAAGGAAGGAGGAAGAACUUUUACAGCGACAGCAUGUAAAACGUGGAACACUCUGCCACUAUCAACUCCAAAACUGGCCACCUUAAGUAGUUUUGAAACAUCACUCUGGAAGAGCAUUUUCAAUGACCAACAGGUUUUAAAUCAUUUUAUUCUGUAAUUUUCAUAUCUCAUUUUUAUGUCUUUAAGCCAUAGUUUUUAAUAUCUCUAAUGUUUUUAUUGUAUUUUUAGUGCUUGGAGGGCCACUGUUUUAUUAGUAUUCUUUACUAUUUUAGUGCUACCCUCAUUAAAUAAAGCCUUUACUUACUUA